AUUGAACGCUGGCGGCAGGCCUAACACAUGCAAGUCGAGCGGAUGAAGGGAGCUUGCUCCUGGAUUCAGCGGCGGACGGGUGAGUAAUGCCUAGGAAUCUGCCUGGUAGUGGGGGAUAACGUCCGGAAAGGGGCGCUAAUACCGCAUAGGUCCGGAGGGAGAAAGGGGGGGAUCUUCGGACCUCCCGCUUUCAGAUGAGCCUAGGUCGGAUUAGCUAGUUGGUGGGGUAAAGGCCUACCAAGGCGACGAUCCGUAACUGGUCUGAGAGGAUGAUCAGUCACACUGGAACUGAGACACGGUCCAGACUCCUACGGGAGGCAGCAGUGGGGAAUAUUGGACAAUGGGCGAAAGCCUGAUCCAGCCAUGCCGCGUGUGUGAAGAAGGUCUUCGGAUUGUAAAGCACUUUAAGUUGGGAGGAAGGGCAGUAAGUUAAUACCUUGCUGUUUUGACGUUACCAACAGAAUAAGCACCGGCUAACUUCGUG
rnacentral:rRNA from 1 species